rnacentral:rRNA from 1 species
CCUACGGGUGACAGCAGUGGGGAAUAUUGCGCAAUGGGCGAAAGCCUGACGCAGCGACGCCGCGUGAGGGAUGAAGGUCUUCGGAUCGUAAACCUCUGUCAGCAGGGAAGAACGGUCACUGUGCUAAUCAGCAGGGAAUGGACGGUACCUGCAAAGGAAGCACCGGCUAACUCAGUGCAAGAAGCCGCGGUAAUACGGAGGGUGCGAGCGUUAAUCGGAAUUACGGGGCGGAAAGCGCGCGUAGGCGGGAUGUCAAGGCAAGGGUGAAAUCACCGCGCUCAACGUGGGCACUGCCUUUGAAACUGGCAAACUGGAGUGUGUGAGAGGCUAGUGGAAUUCCAGGUGUAGCAGUGAAAUCCG